GUGCCGAGCAUUGUUCGUCGUGCU
rnacentral:sRNA from 1 species